ACACGACUCUCGGCAACGGAUAUCUCGGCUCUCGCAUCGAUGAAGAACGUAGCGAAAUGCGAUACCUGGUGUGAAUUGCAGAAUCCCGCGAACCAUCGAGUCUUUGAACGCAAGUUGCGCCCGAGGCCACUCGGCCGAGGGCGCGCCUGCCUGGGCGUCACGC
rnacentral:rRNA from 1 species